rnacentral:lncRNA from 1 species
CACUUAUUAACUCUGUUAAUGUUUAGCUUUAAAAUAAUUUUUACUGAACAUCGUAAUAUCUUAAGAGUACAGAAGUAAUCAGAUGAAAAUUAUGAUAGUGACUCACAAAAUUUUAAUGAACAUCAAGAAUUAAAAAAGUCUUGUCUGCAGACACCUGUCUCUGUAUUAAACAAAAGUAAAACGAGAUUGUAAACAGUGAUUAUAAUUACCUCUGUGAUUAAGAAGCAAUACGAAGAAAUUUGCUGACAAAAGAUACCACAUACAGCAAAAUUUAAAAGGUAGUUGUGGCUUUUUUUUUGGAGCUCUAGACAGAAAUAGAGGCAGAAAAGAAGGAGCAGAAAAAAAGUCCAUCCAAAAAAUUAGUUCAACAAAAAAUCGUGGCUAUACUGUCCAAUCAUUGACAUUGAAACCUUUAUCUGGAUUAUCAUUACCGCGAUUUGAACGCUUUAUUUUUGAUGAAUCUGACAAAAUAUAAUGUUCUCUUGC